rnacentral:rRNA from 1 species
CCUACGGGAGACAGCAGUGAGGAAUAUUGGUCAAUGGGCGCGAGCCUGAACCAGCCAAGUAGCGUGAAGGAUGACUGCCCUACGGGUUGUAAACUUCUUUUAUAAAGGAAUAAAGUGAGGCACGUGUGCCUUUUUGUAUGUACUUUAUGACUACUGAUCGGCUAACUCCGUUCCAGCAGCCGCGGUAAUACGGAGGAUCCGAGCGUUAUCCGGAUUUAUUGGGUUUAAAGGGAGCGUAGAUGGGUUGUUAAGUCAGUUGUGAAAGUUUGCGGCUCAACCGUAAAAUUGCAAUUGAUACUGGCAGACUUGAGUACAGGUGAGGGAGGCGGAAUUCGUGGUGUAGCGGUGAAAUGCUUAGAUAUCACGAAGAACUCCGAUUGCGAAGGCAGCUUACUAAACUGCAACUGACAUUGAUGCUCGAAAGUGUGGGUAUCAAACAGGAUUAGAUACCCUAGUAGUC